CAGCAGCCCCAUCCCUUUUUCCCCAUUUCUCCUCCUUUGUCUCACUCAUUCUUCUCCCACACACACAUACACAUGGCCAAGUGGGAGAGAGAACGAACUUGAGUGGGAGAAAGGGAGCCAGCCGUGAGAAAGAAAGGAGAAGAAGAAGAAAAAAAAGAGAAGAAGAGGAAAGUGACGAAUUUUAUGGGGGAUUCGGCCAAGGGUGCUUGUGAGGUGUAUCGCGGUUGAGUCAAGAGUUCACCGGAGGGUACUCAAGCGAACAAGAUGAUGUUGUUGAUGCAGGUGCAGAGACAAUAGACGAUGACCCUGUGGCCAUGUAUUUAGGUUACCACGGUGUCUGAGGCCUGGAUACAUUGGGCGUUUAUUUUGUUGGACUAGUUGAUAGCCCACUUUUGUAGAGCAUUCAUGUAUAUGCUUAGGCAUUGUUAUUUUGUAUAUGGCUCGUGUCGUAUGUGACACUUUUGUAAAGCCAUUCUUUUGUAUGUAAGCUUUAAUCACUUAGAUGUAUUAAUCAGCUCUG